rnacentral:rRNA from 1 species
CAAGUCGGACGGGAAUUCUUUUGGUAGCAAUACCGAAAGAAUUCUAGUGGCGAACGGGUGCGUAACACGUGGGCAAUCUGCCUUAAAGUGGGGGAUAGCUCGGCGAAAGCCGAAUUAAUACCGCAUGUGAUCAGGAGAGACAUCUCUUCGACAUCAAAGGUGGCGCAAGCUACCGCUUUUUGAGGAGCCCGCGGCCUAUCAGCUAGUUGGUGAGGUAACGGCUUACCAAGGCGAUGACGGGUAGCUGGUCUGAGAGGACGACCAGUCACACUGGAACUGAGACACGGUCCAGACACCUACGGGUGGCAGCAGUCGAGAAUUUUUCUCAAUGGGGGAAACCCUGAAGGAGCGACGCCGCGUGGAGGAUGAAGGUCUUCGGGUUGUAAACUCCUGUCAUUUGGGAACAAGUCGCUUACGUUAACUGCGUGAGCGUUGAUAGUACCAGAAGAGGAAGAGACGGCUAACUCUGUGCCAGCAGCCGCGGUAAUACAGAGGUCUCAAGCGUUGUUCGGAUUCAUUGGGCGUAAAGGGUGCGUAGGUGGCGCGGUAAGUCGGGUGUGAAAUUUCGGAGCUUAACUCCGAAACUGCAUUCGAUACUGCCGUGCUUGAGGACUGGAGAGGAGACUGGAAUUUACGGUGUAGCAGUGAAAUGCGUAGAUAUCGUAAGGAAGACCAGUGGCGAAGGCGGGUCUCUGGACAGUUCCUGACACUGAGGCACGAAGGCCAGGGGAGCAAACGGGAUUAGAUACCCCGGUAGUCCUGGCAGUAAACGGUGCACGUUUGGUGUGGGAGGAUUCGACCCCUUCUGCGCCGGAGCUAACGCGUUAAACGUGCCGCCUGGGGAGUACGGUCGCAAGAUUAAAACUCAAAGAAAUUGAC